AGUGAACGCUGGCGGUAGGCCUAACACAUGCAAGUCGAACGGCAGCACAGUAAGAGCUUGCUCUUACGGGUGGCGAGUGGCGGACGGGUGAGGAAUACAUCGGAAUCUACUUUUUCGUGGGGGAUAACGUAGGGAAACUUACGCUACUACCGCAUACGACCUACGGGUGAAAGCAGGGGAUCUUCGGACCUUGCGCGAUUGAAUGAGCCGAUGUCGGAUUAGCUAGUUGGCGGGGUAAAGGCCCACCAAGGCGACGAUACGUAGCUGGUCUGAGAGGAUGAUCAGCCACACUGGAACUGAGACACGGUCCAGACUCCUACGGGAGGCAGCAGUGGGGAAUAUUGGGCAAUGGGCGCAAGCCUGAUCCAGCCAUACCGCGUGGGUGAAGAAGGCCUUCGGGUUGUAAAGCCCUUUUGUUGGGAAAGAAAAGCAGCAGGUUAAUACCCCGCUGUUCUGACGGUACCCAAAGAAUAAGCACCGGCUAACUUCGUG
rnacentral:rRNA from 1 species